GUUUAUGGGUUGUGAUUUUGAUUUCAAGUGAAGAAGAAAUUAGAAAUCUGCUUGUGGGUUUCAAGUGAAGAAGAAGAUGGAGAUCUGCUUGUGGGUUGUGGAUUUGAUUUCAAGCCAAGAAAAAGAUCUACUGAAGUAAAAGGUUGAUUUAAACUGGAUGCGAUCGUGAACUUCGGUUUUUAUCGAUUUCAUUUGUGUUAUUUUCUUAUUAGCUUAAAAGAAUAAAAAUUGAUUUGCAAUUAUUUGAUUUAUGAAAAGGUUCAUACUCAAAGUGUGGGUACGAUAAAGAGAAAGAGGAAUGGGACUAAGCCUUCAAAAUGUAGAAGAAACAUGAAGAAAUAAUACACACUGUCAGAUGCGAGCCAAUGAAGCCAAUGAAGGCAAAAAAUGAAGCA